rnacentral:rRNA from 1 species
AUUGAACGCUGGCGGAAUGCUUUACACAUGCAAGUCGAACGGUAGAGGGGGCAACCCCUCGAGAGUGGCGAACGGGUGAGUAAUAUAUCGGAACGUGCCCAGUCGUGGGGGAUAACGUAGCGAAAGUUACGCUAAUACCGCAUACGAUCUAAGGAUGAAAGCGGGGGAUCGCAAGACCCCGCGUGAUUGGAGCGGCCGAUAUCAGAUUAGGUAGUUGGUGGGGUAAAGGCUCACCAAGCCAACGAUCUGUAGCUGGUCUGAGAGGACGACCAGCCACACUGGAACCGAGACACGGUCCAGACUCCUACGGGAGGCAGCAGUGGGGAAUUUUGGACAAUGGACGCAAGUCUGAUCCAGCCAUUCCGUGUGCAGGAUGAAGGCCCUCGGGUUGUAAACUGCUUUUGUACGGAACGAAAAGGUCUCUCUUAAUACGGGGGACUCAUGACGGUACCGUAAGAAUAAGCACCGGCUAACUACGUGCCAGCCGCCGCCGUAAGAC